rnacentral:lncRNA from 1 species
AUCAUUGAAGUUUAAAUUCUAAAUAUGUUAUAAAUUGAUUACAUUGGUUAUCACUGAUGUUUAAUCACUAAAUAUGUUAUUGUAAAAUGUUUACAUUGGUUAAGUUCUAAAUAUGUUAUUGUAAUAUGUCCAUAUUGGUCAUCUUCAAAAGCUUAAUUUCUAUGUCAUAAAAAAGAGAGUGUUAUUAGAAAGAUGGUUUUGGUACCAAACUACAGUGAAAAACAUAAGGUUUUAUGUAACUGUGAUAUUUAUUACUGCUCCUUUUCUGGUGUUCAAAAUGUAUUUAUGCCCUCUAAUUAUGUGGGUCUUCCAACAUAUUGUUUAUGGUAAUAACCUUUUGAUUUGGGUAUUUGCCCUUCUCUUAUGCUCCAGCCACCUAUGAAAAUAGGCACACUUGUAUGCUGAUACAUAAAACUGGUAUACCCUAUAAUCCCCAGGGACAGGGGAUUGUUGAAGGAGCUCAUAAUGCCCUUAAACAUCAGCUUCAGAAAAUAAAAAAGGGGGAGUUAUACCCCUUGUCUCCUCAGAAUCUCUUAAACCAUACCCUUUUCAUUUUGAAUUUUCCAAUGUAUGAAUAAGACACUCACCAAUAACAGGAUCAUACCAUGGGCCAGAUGUAGAGUGGACCGGCCAGCCAUCUGUAACUUCACCGAUCAACAAGAAGUGCUACAGGAUUGGAGUGCCCAAUUGGACAAUUGUCAAGUGUGUUUGAUCCAUGUUCUCAAUGAUGGCUGUCCAAUUGCAUUAUCAGAGAUUGAUCACCCCUAAGCAAGAGGCCGGUUAGUCAAUGACGGGUUUGAGACCAGGAGAAUCUCUU